AAAAAAACCUAAAAAUGCUUCUUCUGUGAGAGCAAACACGACAUAUUCAGAAGUGCUUCUUCGGAGAAGCACUUUUUUCUCACGCGCAUUGGCUCAAGCUUUCUCGGGUUCUCUUGUGUGACACACUCUCAAACUCAUGCUCUCUCCCUCUCAAUUCUUACGCAACAACAACAAUUACGACGCUGAUUCUCUUGGUCUCGAAUUGGUUGGAUUUGGAUUUCAGAACUGAUUCGAAUUGUUAUUGACUCAGGAUUCGAUUCGCUCUGGGGUUCAGAAUCUAUUUGCGCUCAAAAUUUCAACUCGGAGCAGUUUGAGUUAAAGUUAGAGCAAGCAUACGAUAUCAUAAAGCUGAGAAUGGAGGAAUGCUUACCGGUUGAAGCAAUGAGGAGAAGAAAAUGUAGCUUUCGAUCUUGCUCACAAGGAAAAAGUACUAUUGCGUGUGCUUUGAGCCAAAGCUUGCACUCCAAAGGAAAACUGACUUACAUCCUCGAUGGUGACAAUAUUCGGCAUGGUCUAAACCGUGAUCUUAGUUUUAGAGCAGAAGAUCGUUCAGAAAACAUUCGAAGGAUUGGUGAGGUUCUACUAUCUUUAAUAAAUAUACACGCACUAGGAUUGGUGAGGUUUUCACUUUGGAGUUUUAUUCAUUUAUGCAUUGAUCUUGAAGACAACCCUUCACAAACUUUGCGACCUGCAGACUGUUUUGACUCAUGAAAACAGAGGUUGGUGAUCAAUUGGGCAUAUAUAUGGAAUAUGUCAAUCCUGGAUCACUUCAAAAGUUUAUGCAAGAACAUAAUGGGGCUCUGACAGAAUCAGUGGUUCGCAAUUUUACACGGCAUAUUCUCUCUGGAGUGGUGUGCUUACAUAGCACCGAGACUUUCCCCAGGGACGUUAAAGGUGCAAACUUGCUAGUUGAUCCAUCAGGCAUUGUCAAGCUUGCAGGUUUUGGGGUGUCAAAAACUGUUGUAACACUGUUUGGUAUGCCUCAUAGUUACUGAUAAGUGGGUGGUCAUUCGAGAGUAUGGUGCAGUCGCGCAGAGAUUGCUGCUCUAGCAUGACCAAAAAUAUUGAGCCAUAGAAGCACACUUUUAAAGUAAAGCCCUGUACUUUCUAGCUUCAUUAUAAAUUCAAUGUGUAGUCGUGUAUUUUAGAAUACAAUUCUGUCUUCAAUCAAAUACAUUGCUCAAUGUGUAGUCCUGUACUUUCUAGCUUCAUUAUAAAUUCAAUGUGUAGUCGUGUAUUUUGGAACAAACUGAAUUUUAGCUAUCAACUCUUUUUCGAUUCUGUUUCGACAUUGUUUGUGUUCUGAAAUUUUCUGCAAUUAGAAUAUUAGAAUUAGAAUAUGAGUUGUUAAUGAAUGUUUUAGCUAGAUGAGAACUUGUUGUUUGUGCUAGAUGUUGAUAUUCA